GGAUGUGAGGGCAAAUCUGGCUGUGACAUCUGUCACCCCCAUUAAUGGCCCAGGGUUGAUUUGGCUUGGGCUAGGCGGGUGUCCCCUUCCCUCCCUCACCACUCCAUGUGCGUCCCUCCAGAAGCUACACGCUUAGUCGAAGAGGAUGGUCUUCCCCGAAUAGAGACGGACUGGUCUUCAGUCAAGGGUAUAUGAGUAGCUGGGCACCCCUGCUAGAACCUCCAAACAAGCUCUCAAAAUUCCCAGUAGAAAUGACUUUGAACACAGUAUCCUUAAAUACCAGACUGUGGAGUUUGGAU
rnacentral:snRNA from 1 species